GGCCCAGUGGCGGAUGGUCCGCGCUUGCGACCGGUACUGCGCAUGUUGACACCUGGUUUCAGCAAGAAGCGCUCGUUCGAUUCGAGCCUGGGCCA